rnacentral:rRNA from 1 species
GACGAACCACACGAACGUUAUUCGGAAUUACUGGGCUUAAAGGGUGCGUAGGCGGCGCGGUAAGUAGGGUGUGAAAUCCCUCGGCUCAACCGAGGAACUGCGCUCUAAACUACCGUGCUUGAGGGAGGUAGAGGUGAGCGGAACUUAGGGUGGAGCGGUGAAAUGCGUUGAUAUCCUAAGGAACACCGGUGGCGAAAGCGGCUCACUGGAUCUCUUCUGACGCUGAGGCACGAAAGCUAGGGUAGCGAACGGG